rnacentral:lncRNA from 1 species
CGGCAAGUCCAUGCUGGAGUCAGGAAAAAGAAGCCAGAGUUCCUGAACCUCAGCCCACUGCACUCCCAGCAUGCCCGUCAUAACACACUGUGCAGAGUGGUCAAGUGUAGACAGGAGACAUAAACACUAGGUAAUUCUGGAUGCACCGAGGUGAGCAGAGAGACCAGCUGCUAGAACACUGAGGACUCGGAUGAGUAGCGCUGGGGAUGUACCACCAAAUUUUCAAGAAAAAUAACAACGAUGAAAUAUCUGGCGAAUUAAGGAUGACUGAAGGUCAUCGUACUGCAGGGAAAAAGUGUAUAGACUUGAUCUAAAUGAAAUUUGAUGUCAGUGUGAGUCAUGAGUACACCCCAACGUCACAUGACACUUUGAUAAUUAUCCGUGAUCUGAGAGAGCCUGCCUCACUA